rnacentral:rRNA from 1 species
GACGAACGCUGGCGGCGUGCUUAACACAUGCAAGUCGUACGGUAAGGCCCUUUCGGGGGUACACGAGUGGCGAACGGGUGCGUAACACGUGAGUAACCUGCCCACAACUUUGGGAUAACGCUAGGAAACUGGUGCUAAUACUGGAUAUGUGCUCCUGCUGCAUGGUGGGGGUUGGAAAGCUCCGGCGGUUGUGGAUGGACUCGCGGCCUAUCAGCUUGUUGGUGGGGUAGUGGCCUACCAAGGCGGCGACGGGUAGCCGGCCUGAGAGGGUGACCGGCCACAUUGGGACUGAGAUACGGCCCAGACUCCUACGGGAGGCAGCAGUGGGGAAUAUUGCACAAGGGGCGCAAGCCUGAUGCAGCAACGCCGCGGGCGGGAGGACGGCCUUCGGGUUGUAAACCGCUUUCAGCAGGGACGAAGCUUUUUGUGACGGUACCUGCAGAAGAAGCACCGGCUAACUACGUG